UCUUCGCUAGUAUAUCGGUUAGUAUAAUCGCCUCUCAAAUGAGAGCUCCUCACUUCAAAGUGGUCGCGAUAGAGCAGGGUUCGACUCCCUGGCGGAGAA